UGUCCUUGGACUGGCCAAGCUUCGAAUUACCGGUCGGCGACGCUACUGCUUUGGGUACUCUCAGGACCCGUCUUGAAACACGGACCAAGGAGUCUAACAUGUGCGCGAGUCAUUGGGAUAUAUAAACCUAAAGGCGCAAUGAAAGUGAAGGUCGGCCUUUGCGUCGACCGAGGGAGGAUGGGCCGUGUUACGAUUUACGGCCUCGCACUCCCGGGGCGUCUCGUUCUCAUUGCGAGAAGAGGCGCACCCAGAGCGUACACGUUGGGACCCGAAAGAUGGUGAACUAUGCCUGGUCAGGACGAAGUCAGGGGAAACCCUGAUGGAGGUCCGUAGCGAUUCUGACGUGCAAAUCGAUCGUCGGAACUGGGUAUAGGGGCGAAAGACUAAUCGAACCAUCUAGUAGCUGGUUCCCUCCGAAGUUUCCCUCAGGAUAGCUGGCACUCGCUCGUUCCUACGUUGAACGCAUGCGAGUCUCAUCUGGUAAAGCGAAUGAUUAGAGGCCUUGGGGCCGAAACGACCUCAACCUAUUCUCAAACUUUAAAUGGGUGAGAUCUCUGGCUUGCUUGAAUAUCAUAUGAAGCCACGAGAUUUUGGAUCAGAGUGCCAAGUGGGCCAAUUUUGGUAAGCAGAACUGGCGCUGUGGGAUGAACCAAACGCAGAGUUAAGGCGCCUAAGUCGACGCUUAUGGGAUACCAUGAAAGGCGUUGGUUGCUUAAGACAGCAGGACGGUGGCCAUGGAAGUCGGAAUCCGCUAAGGAGUGUGUAACAACUCACCUGCCGAAGCAACUAGCCCUGAAAAUGGAUGGCGCUGAAGCGUCGCGCCUAUACUCCGCCGUCAGCGGCAAGUGAGGAGAGACGUGUCAUCCUCGGAUGGCCGUCCUCCAUGAAGCCCUGACGAGUAGGAGGGUCGCGGCGGUGUGCGCAGAAGGGUCUGGGCGUGAGCCUGCCUGGAGCCGCCGUCGGUGCAGAUCUUGGUGGUAGUAGCAAAUACUCCAGCGAGGCCCUGGAGGACUGACGUGGAGAAGGGUUUCGUGUGAACAGCCGUUGCACACGAGUCAGUCGAUCCUAAGCCCUAAGAGAAAUCCUAUGUGAAUGAGGUGUCCUAAAACAAAUGUUUUGUGUACAAGACACACACCCGUUGGGCGAAAGGGAAUCCGGUUUCUAUUCCGGAACCCGGCAGCGGAACCGCAUACCAUUCGGGCCCUCGUAAGAGUGUUCGUCGGGGUAACCCAAAAUGACCUGGAGACGCCGUCGGGAGAUCCGGGGAGAGUUUUCUUUUCUGUAUAAGCGUUCGAGUUCCCUGGAAACCUCUAGCAGGGAGAUAGGGUUUGGAACGCGAAGAGCACCGCAGUUGCGGCGGUGUCCGGAUCUUCCCCUCGGACCUUGAAAAUCCAGGAGAGGGCCACGUGGAGGUGUCGCGCCGGUUCGUACCCACAUCCGCAGCAGGUCUCCAAGGUAAAGAGCCUCUAGUCGAUAGAUUAAUGUAGGUAAGGGAAGUCGGCAAAUUGGAUCCGUAACUUCGGAAUAAGGAUUGGCUCUGAGGAGCAGGGCGUGUCGGGCUUGGUCGGGAAGCGGGUCUGGCUGACGUGCCGGGCCUGGGCGAGGUGAACGGCUUCGGCCUGGAUCCGAGCUCGGUCCCGUGCCUUGGCCUCCCGCGGAUCUUCCUUGCUGCGAGGCUUCUGCAAUAGCGGUCGCCCUCUUCGGCCGCCAUUCAACGUUCAGCUGAGAACUGGCACGGACUAGGGGAAUCCGACUGUCUAAUUAAAAUAAAGCAUUGCGAUAGCCCCCGCGGGUGUUGACGCAAUGUGAUUUCUGCCCAGUGCUCUGAAUGUCAUUGUGAAGAAAUUCAAAAAAGCGCGGGUAAACUGCGGGAGUAACUAUGACUAUGGCGGCGUGACACAUUAUUAACAGCUCCGCACUUAUGUGCAAGUAAGUUUUAGUGGCAAUAAUUGUAAGCAAUUGAAAAGUGUGCGUGACAGACUAAAACUUUUGUUCAUGAGCAUUUUUAAAUAUUAAACAUGGAUGGAAAUACUAUCCAAAUAUAAAUAAUAAACAAAGUGAUAACUGGUGCGAGUGUACGAACAGGUGGUGCAAUAAGAGAAAAUUUUUAGACACUAAUAACUGUUUAAAAAAAUACCGCCUGUGUGAAUGUAUCUCAAAAUUAUUGAGAACUGUAAUUUUUGUCAAACAAUUUGAUGUACCACAUGUAAAUGGUAGCUGUCAUAGUUUUUAAACAAUUAAUAAUUGAAUAUUUUAUAUUGUUGCUGCCUUUUCCAGGGAUUUUUUUUAAAAGAGAUAAAUCAGGCGUGAAUCCUCGCCCGUGGAGCCCUGAAGAACUCUGCUCGUUAGGAAAUUUUAGACUUCUUUUAAAAGAGACAACUUUAAUUUGAAGAACACGUCUUUAUUUAUCGAGGGUCAAUACUGGAAUGGACUCCUUUACAAAACGAUCGUUUUUGUUACAUCUUGUUAAUUACAAUAUGUCCUUAGAUACCAGGAGCCAAUAAAAUAAUUAUUAAAUUAUGAAAUAAUUCCUGAUUUGUUAAUACAUUUCUUUCAGCUAUUCAUUUUAUAAUUUUCAAGUGUUUAACAUACUUGCCAUGAUUAAAUAUAUUUUAGAGAAGGAGUAAAAGCGAAAUUCGACUGUUAAAAUAUAAUAUAAGUUAAAUAUAACUUCACUUCUAUCUCCUUUUCUAAUUACAAUCAUAUACCUUAAUUUGAAUUUCACGCUUGUGAAGCUUACGCUAGACGCCGCUACAAGAUGAGGGCGAGAUUCACAACAAUAUGACACGUGCAUGGGGGCCGCCAUGUUGGAGACCGGUUGAGUGCCGUACCACGCUAAUGACAUUAAAAGGGGCCCUGCUGAUCACCGUAAUAUUAAGGCGCAUUGGGUCACCACAGAAAAUUGAGGAAAUUCAGCUAACGUCACCGGACACCGUUUUUCCUUCAACUACUGAUUAUUAUUAAUUAUUAAUUACGAAUGUACAAAGUUUCAACUGCAAUUUCUCUCUUCCUUCGUUUCUUUUUGUAGAUUAAGUGCUGCCAAUACCGAUUUGACAGAUCAUAGAGAACAGCCAUAUUGAGCCAUAUUGCACAUACACUCAAAGCUGUCAUACAUCGGUGAUCUUAAGAAUAACACGCAGCCUGUAACACGUGUGAAAUCAUAAAAAUCAGGACCGUGCAAAAGUUUCCUUUCUUAUUCUUAUUUUUACUAUUAUAUACUUACUCCUAUAUCCCUAUUCUUUAACUCGUACUCUUAUAUUAUUAUACGUGCACUCCUAACC
rfam:Dufourea novaeangliae contig4037, whole genome shotgun sequence.